rnacentral:rRNA from 1 species
AACGAACGCUGGCGGCAGGCCUAACACAUGCAAGUCGAGCGAGGACUUCGGUCCUAGCGGCGGACGGGUGAGUAACGCGUGGGAACGUGCCCUUUGCUACGGAAUAGCCCUGGGAAACUGGGAGUAAUACCGUAUGUGCCCUUCGGGGGAAAGAUUUAUCAGCAAAGGAUCGGCCCGCGUUGGAUUAGGUAGUUGGUGGGGUGAUGGCCUACCAAGCCGACGAUCCAUAGCUGGAUUGAGAGGAUGAUCAGCCACACUGGGACUGAGACACGGCCCAGACUCCUACGGGAGGCAGCAGUGGGGAAUCUUAGACAAUGGGCGCAAGCCUGAUCUAGCCAUGCCGCGUGAGCGAUGAAGGCCUUAGGGUUGUAAAGCUCUUUCAGUGGGGAAGAUAAUGACGGUACCCACAGAAGAAGCCCCGGCUAACUCCGUGCCAGCCGCCGCAGUAACAC